UACGUAGGGACCGAGCGUUGUCCGGAAUCAUUGGGCGUAAAGAGCGUGUAGGCGGCUCGCUAAGUCUUGCGUGAAAUCUCGGGGCUCAACCCCGAGCGGUCGUGAGAAACUGGCGGGCUAGAGUGCGGGAGAGGAGAGUGGAAUUCCUGGUGUAGCAGUGAAAUGCGUAGAUAUCAGGAGGAAUACCGAUGGCGAAGGCAGGUCUCUGGGCUGACACUGACGCUCAUGCACGAAAGCGUGGGGAGCAAACAGG
rnacentral:rRNA from 1 species